rnacentral:rRNA from 1 species
CAGUAGCCGCGGGAAUACGUAGGUGGCAAGCGUUGUCCGGAAUUAUUGGGCGUAAAGGGCUCGCAGGCGGUUUCUUAAGUCUGAUGUGAAAGCCCCCGGCUCAACCGGGGAGGGUCAUUGGAAACUGGGAAACUUGAGUGCAGAAGAGGAGAGUGGAAUUCCACGUGUAGCGGUGAAAUGCGUAGAGAUGUGGAGGAACACCAGUGGCGAAGGCGACUCUCUGGUCUGUAACUGACGCUGAGGAGCGAAAGCGUGGGGAGCGAACAGGAUUAGAUAUCCGAGUAGUCCCUGUCUCUUAUAA